rnacentral:rRNA from 1 species
UACGUAGGGAGCAAGCGUUGUUCGGAUUUACUGGGCGUAAAGGGCGCGUAGGCGGCGUGUCAAGUCGAUUGUGAAAUCUCCGGGCUUAACUCGGAACGGCCAAUCGAUACUGACGUGCUAGAGUGCAGAAAGGGCAAUCGGAAUUCUUGGUGUAGCGGUGAAAUGCGUAGAUAUCAAGAGGAACACCGGUGGCGAAGGCGGGUCUCUGGGCCAUAACUGACGCUGAGGAGCGAAAGCGUGGGGAGCGAACAGG